CUAAGAUCAUUGCUCGUUAGGAAUGUCUCAAUUCCAAAGUCCCCGCGCAUUACGCUAGGAAUAGGUUCAGGGUAAAACGAGCGUUUUCCACCUGCCUUUCCAAUUUCGUUUCUUUCUGCCUAUGUUUGGAUGCAAAGACUGUUCACGGUCACGGAAGAGGCUUGGGUAGAAGGCAAUUUUCUCUGCACUUUGAGUGGUAUAGUUAAUUAAUUUACAUACGAUUUACUUACCCAAUGCAGCCCUAUAGUGAAAAACCUCUUACUCCAUAGUGAUACACUCAAGCAAAAUUGACCGUUCCACCCUCGGUAGAGAGAGAAAAUCGACUUUUGCUUGUGGUUCAGGUAGCCUAAGGAGUGCUUGCGAAGCGAGUCUAGAACAUGAUCGAGUGUUUUAGCUGGGCUGUUGAAAAUUACUUUUUAACAAUCAAUCAAUUCCAUUUUUUGAUAAUGAAGGAAAAAAUUCGGAAAGAAAGUAAAGCGAGAACAAAGGGAAAACUCCCACCAUAGAUAAGAUGUAUAUUUUGUUAUUCUGGGUUAGAGUAGAUAUGCAGUGAAGUAAAUAAAUGUUCAAAAAAGCUUGUUUCAUACCAAAUGAUAUUUUCCUACUCGCUGAGCAUACCAAAUAAUACUGCAGCAAAAAUGGAAAGUAGUGCUAGGUGAACACACGAAGUCGAAUUGCACAUGUCGCGCUGACGACAUUGAACAUGGCAAUAUGUAUCAUUCCUGGUAUUGGGUCCCUGACAAAGUUCAUUGAGAUCGUCGCAGUGCUUCUUAGAGGUGCAAAAACGCCGUUCCACUUCAAAGUUUUGGAAUUUUCUGUACAAUCUGGCGCAGAAAUUCCAAGUUUCGGGGUAUUAGGAGUACACGUAAAACUACACCAAAGAAGUUGCCGCAAAAGAGAUUCCAUUAAAAUCCGACUACAACCUUAUGACGAUUUACCCACCUGCAUCUAUAAGGGUGAAGAUUGCGAACCAUAGAACACACAGAAAAGUCAUCAUGGCAGCAUCACUUUGUGAACGUGUAGCGUCACACGAACAAGUUGACACCCAGGAAUUGAGUUUCAGUUCCAACUUAUAGUAAUUAUCUAAUUGAGGGUUAACUACUCGAAGCUUUUAACUAAAUUUGCAGCCAAUCAGGGCGUUUUUAUGGAGCAACGUCGUAUGGGUACUACGUGAUAGGUGUUGGUAAAAAAUUUAAAUCCUCGUCGGUCAAAUAAAGAGAUGUAAGAUUAAAAGACAAGCAGAUGAUGAACUCAAAGAGACUCUGUGAACAGAAUUUGUAAAAAUAGUGGAACUUGAUUCCUUACAGUAUUUGUCAAUGUUGCGUGCCUUAAUAAGACAUUCUAUCACAAAUAGCCCGAGGAGAAUAUUACCCCAAGGGAGGACAUCACGUACAACUUGGGUCAUGACGAAGACCUUGAGUGAGGAAAUAAUACUAAAGCUACUUCUGUAGAGAUUCGCCUGACUUAGAGCUUUCGGUAAAAAUGUCAGCUUCUGAGCCUUUUUUUCAGUACUGCUCAUAACUAUUUCGUGCCUCUAUCGACAUUCUGUUUAUCACGUACGCUCGAUUUGCAUGGUUAGCUGUACGUUUGGUUGACCGCUUUUUAUUUCAAAUUGUUUUCUGGCUAUUCAUGCAAAUGAUAAUCUACAUUAAAAACUCAUUUUGAUCAUAUGUAAUCUUGGAAAAUUAUUUUUCGUCUACUUUCGCAAAUUUCUACCUCAAGAAGUUUAAGGGCAACGUUACGCUUCCGGAAUUCUGGUACCGGAACCAAAUACAACACAUUGUUUUUGAGUUCGUGAUGUAUGCCACCUUUUCAUUGUUGCGUUUGUAUUGCCUUAAUUAAAUCCUUCACUCAAAGUAGAGGUCAGAUUGUAUCGGCUGUGAAAAAUCGCUAAUAAGGAAAUCAUUAAGAAUAAAAUGUAAAGUCGACA